UAUAUUUUAAUAUAAGAUGUAUAGAAAUUUUUGAUAUUUCAAGAAAUGGUUUAAUUCCAUUAAAUAUAA
rnacentral:tRNA from 1 species